rnacentral:rRNA from 1 species
AUUGAACGCUGGCGGCAGGCCUAACACAUGCAAGUCGAGCGGAUGAAGGGAGCUUGCUCCUGGAUUCAGCGGCGGACGGGUGAGUAAUGCCUAGGAAUCUGCCUGGUAGUGAGGGAUAACGUCCGGAAACGGGCGCUAAUACCGCAUACGUCCUGAGGGAGAAAGUGGGGGAUCUUCGGACCUCACGCUAUCAGAUGAGCCUAGGUCGGAUUAGCUAGUUGGUGGGGUAAUGGCCUACCAAGGCGACGAUCCGUAACUGGUCUGAGAGGAUGAUCAGUCACACUGGAACUGAGACACGGUCCAGACUCCUACGGGAGGCAGCAGUGGGGAAUAUUGGACAAUGGGCGAAAGCCUGAUCCAGCCAUGCCGCGUGUGUGAAGAAGGUCUUCGGAUUGUAAAGCACUUUAAGUUGGGAGGAAGGGCAGUAAGUUAAUACCUUGCUGUUUUGACGUUACCAACAGAAUAAGCACCGGCUAACUUCGUG